rnacentral:misc_RNA from 1 species
GAUGAAGAACGCAGCGAAAUGCGAUAAGUAAUGUGAAUUGCAGAAUUCAGUGAAUCAUCGAAUCUUUGAACGCACAUUGCGCCCGCCAGUAUUCUGGCGGGCAUGCCUGUUCGAGCGUCAUUUCAACCAUCAAGCCCCCGGCUUGUGUUGGGGACCUGCGGCUGCCGCAGGCCCUGAAAAGCAGUGGCGGGCUCGCUGUCACACCGAGCGUAGUAGCAUACAUCUCGCUCUGGGCGUGCUGCGGGUUCCGGCCGUUAAACCACCUUCAUAACCCAAGGUUGACCUCGGAUCAGGUAGGAAGACCCGCUGAACUUUAGCAUAUCAAUAAGCGGAGGA